UACGAGUGCCCCAAGCGUUAUCCGGAAUUAUUGGGCGUAAAGGGUCAGUAGGCGGUUCUGUUAGUCUUCUGUCAAAUUCUUCGGCUUAACCGGGGGUCCGCAGGGGAAACGGCAGAACUUGAGGAUGCGAGAGGUGAAUGGAACUCAUAGUGUAGGGGUGAAAUCCGUUGAUAUUAUGGGGAACACCAAAAGCGAAGGCAAUUCACUGGCGCACUCCUGACGCUGAAUGACGAAAGCGUGGGUAGCGAAUGGG
rnacentral:rRNA from 1 species